rnacentral:rRNA from 1 species
GCCCCUUUAGCCCACUGGAACCCCACUUUACCCUAUUAGCUCAUCCCCGUAGCUUCUGGUGCAGGGAGGGCGGCGCCACAGCGUACACCCACCGCCGUCGCCGAUCGAUGGCAGCCGCCGCUGCACGGCGCACCCCGCCUCUUCCGGCUUGCACGUAGCCCCUCCCCUACCUCGCAGCUUCUCCCUACUCCGCCUCACCGGUGUUCCAAUCAAGAAUUUGACGAACACCUCGACCCUGGCCGGACGCGAUGGGCAGGUCGCCGGCAGCCCCAACCCCGACCCCCAGGUCGCCGGAAGCAUCAAUCACGACCCCCGGGUCGCCGGCUGUCCCAACCCCAACACCCAAGGCGUCGGAUGCGUCAAUCCCAGCGCCCAAGGUGCCGGAUGCGUCGUCGGCAGCAGAUCUUGAGGAGCACAAGGGUACUAGUGAGCUCUUGCGUGCCAUAAAAAUUGAGAAGGCUAAUGGUCCGGAUCUUCAUUAUCUCUGAAUCAAAUUGCCCUUCUCAUGUUAUGUUGUCUACCCUUUUAUUGUUUCCUAGAGGGAUAUUUCAAUUGCAACAACUAUCAGAUUCUAUUUCUCCUCUGCCAGUUGCGAUUCCAAUGGAUCCGGGUGGCGGCAAGAACAAAGGCUCCGGUGGCGGGAAAGAAGUGCUGUGUUCUCCAUGUCACACUGUUUAUUUGAUGUCGCGCUGGGUGUUUUUGUUCCUCUUGCUACCAAGUUCAGUCUUUAAGUUUGAGCGAAAUGCAGCUUAACGAUGACUGACAUUGUAGUGGCUUGUAGUUUUAUCCCAGAUAUGUCUUGUAGUUUUAGCACAUCACAUGCUAUUCUGAUGAAUACCAUGCCUUGUAUAGGCUGUAGGUGCAGUAUAUGAGUGUGACACCUUGUAGUUGUGUUUCAUACAAUGUCUUUUGUUAAGUGGGAUACUGGGAUCCCACUUAACCCAUGUAAUGUUUGGUGGGUUACCCAAUAUUUUCCACCAAUUUGUAGUGGGAUCAGGUUGGCUGAGGUGGGAUGCCCACGGGUAGUCCCACUUGCAGCGUGAGCUAGAUACAUCCAUCGAAGGACAAUCUUGUGACAAGCUUUUUCGGAUGGAGGGAGUACUUGUUUCCAUUCAAGUCGAAAGCAAAGCUAUCAGGACAUGUGCAAUUAGCAUGGGUUAUAUGAGCAAUGUGUUUACCUGGUAUGAAC